rnacentral:tRNA from 1 species
GCGGGUGUAGCUCAAUGGUAGAGCCCCCUAGUCUUCCAAACUAGCUACGCGGGUUCGAUUCCCGUCACCCGCUCCA